rnacentral:tRNA from 1 species
GACUGGUUAGCUCAGUCGGUUGAGCGUAGUGCUGGUAACACCAAGGUCAUGGGUUUGAUCCCCGAUCGGUCC